rnacentral:rRNA from 1 species
UACGUAGGGUGCAAGCGUUAAGCGGAAUUACUGGGCGUAAAGCGUGCGCAGGCGGCUUUGCAAGACAGAUGUGAAAUCCCCGGGCUUAACCUGGGAACUGCAUUUGUGACUGCAAGGCUGGAGUGCGGCAGAGGGGGAUGGAAUUCCGCGUGUAGCAGUGAAAUGCGUAGAUAUGCGGAGGAACACCGAUGGCGAAGGCAAUCCCCUGGGCCUGCACUGACGCUCAUGCACGAAAGCGUGGGGAGCAAACAGG